rnacentral:tRNA from 1 species
GGGGCGGUAGCUCAGUCGGUUAGAGCAGAGGACUCAUAAUCCGUGGGUCGUGGGUUCGAGCCCCACCCGCCCUA